UAGGGAAUCUUCGGCAAUGGACGAAAGUCUGACCGAGCAACGCCGCGUGAGUGAAGAAGGUUUUCGGAUCGUAAAACUCUGUUGUUAGAGAAGAACAAGGACGUUAGUAACUGAACGUCCCCUGACGGUAUCUAACCAGAAAGCCACGGCUAACUACGUGCCAGCAGCCGCGGUAAUACGUAGGUGGCAAGCGUUGUCCGGAUUUAUUGGGCGUAAAGCGAGCGCAGGCGGUUUCUUAAGUCUGAUGUGAAAGCCCCCGGCUCAACCGGGGAGGGUCAUUGGAAGCAGGGGGACUUGAGUGCAGAAGAGGAGAGUGGAAUUCCAUGUGUAGCGGUGAAAUGCGUAGAUAUAUGGAGGAACACCAGUGGCGAAGGCGGCUCUCUGGUCUGUAACUGACGCUGAGGCUCGAAAGCGUGGGGAGCAAACAGG
rnacentral:rRNA from 1 species